GACGAACCGUGCGAACGUUAUUCGGAAUCACUGGGCAUAAAGCGCACGUAGGCGGCUUGGUAAGUGCGGUGUGAAAGCCCCCGGCCUAACCGGGGAACUGCAUCGCAGACUGCCAGGCUCGAGAGCGGGAGGGGAGACUGGAACUCCUGGUGGAGCGGUGAAAUGCGUAGAUAUCAGGAGGAACACCGGUGGUGAAAACGAGUCUCUGGUCCGCUUCUGACGCUCAGGUGCGAAAGCUAGGGGAGCAAACGGG
rnacentral:rRNA from 1 species